rnacentral:rRNA from 1 species
CAGUAGCCGCGGUAACACGGAGGGGGCUAGCGUUGUUCGGAAUUACUGGGCGUAAAGCGCACGUAGGCGGCUUGGUAAGUUAGAGGUGAAAGCCUGGAGCUCAACUCCAGAAUUGCCUUUAAGACUGCCGAGCUAGCAGGUGAGAGAGGUGAGUGGAAUUCCGAGUGUAGAGGUGAAAUUCGUAGAUAUUCGGAAGAACACCAGUGGCGAAGGCGGCUCACUGGCUCAUACUGGACGCUGAGGUGCGAAAGCGUGGGGAGCAAACAGGAUUAGAUACCCCUGUAGUCCCUGUCUCUUAUAC